rnacentral:ncRNA from 1 species
GGGAACAGACAGGGGAGGCCGGGAGGCCUGAGAGUGCGGCGAACAGCGCCGCAGACCCUCCGAACCUGCUCCGGUUGACACCGGCGAAGGGAGUCAGACAUGCGCACGC